rnacentral:rRNA from 1 species
CUGCAGCUCAAGUGGUGAUCAUUAUUAUUGGGCCUAAAGCGUCCGUAGCCGGAUAGAUGCAUCCACUGUGAAAUCGUUGCGCUCAACGUAACGGCAUGCAGUGGGCACGAUCUAUCUCGAGACCGGGAGGAGUUAGAGGUAUGCCGUGGGGACUGGUAAAAUGGGAUAAUCCACGGUAGACCACCAAUGGCGAAGGCAUCUAACUAGAACGGAUCUGACGGUGAGGGACGAAAGCCAGGGGAGCGAACCGGAUUAGAUACCCGAGUAGUCC